GCAGAACGAUGAAAACACACGUUGCACAGAGCUAAGCCUAAGUGGUUCACAGCAAGGAAUGUGAAGGACUGGAGACUUUCCUGAAGGUGACCUUCCAAAGCCUCUCUCCUCACUGAUCUCACGCUAUGCUGGCACAGCGGGAGCUGAGCUCACCUCUCCACACAACUUCUGAUCCAGAAUCCUUCGUCACCGUGCAUAAGCUCCAAGUGGGAUGAAAGAUAGACCAAUAGAGAAAUGAGGGCACUGUACUGGUACAAGAAAUGUCUCUGGAGUCAUAAAUACAGUUAAGGAAACAUCUUCCACUCUGAAUUUGUCUAGUGAACAAUAUACAUAUAUUAUAUAUAAUAUAUAUUUUCCCCCUAGAAAUUCGGCUGUUCUUCCUUAUCUGUCUUACUGUUCUUUUCAACCAUUAAGUACUGCAGUGUGUUGUCAUUGUUCCCCACUGUAAAGAAAGGAGGGUUGCAAGUUGAUGAGCUGAUCAUUGCACGAGAUGACCUUCUUGGUCCUUUCCAUCUUUAAUAAUUCUAUGAGUCUAUGAAACCUACAGUGCUACUACCUGCUAGGUAAGCAACCCAGUGGGACUUGAGGUAAACUGACAAAGUUGUCCUGACUUCAGUUAUCUGAAAAGCCAGUAGAGCUCAUCAAGAGACUGUUAAUUUACAACAAGAUUGGCAGGAUAGAAAGCUGAAAUGAUGAAGAGUUCAACAAUACCUUGUGCUCAAGAGCUCAAACUCUGCAGUUCAGCUUCCCUUCCAGAUCAGAAACUACUCACUGUUUCCUAAUUGCUUCAGUGACCUCCAGAAACUGCAUUUUUUAUCAAUUCACUGUUUAGUGAAAAUGCAUCACCCAACUCUAAUUGUAAAAACAUUUAUUAGUGUCAGCUACUAAUACCACAUAUUAAUCAUCAAUGUCUUCAGAACAGAGACAUUUCUCACCAUGUGAAGCUGGCCUCCCUA
ensembl:lncRNA